rnacentral:snRNA from 1 species
AUUACUUAAAUGGGUUAACCCAU